AAACCACCCAUAUGAGAAUUUCCUCUACUUUCCUCCCUUUCCUCGAUCAAAUUUCUUUAUUCCUUUCAGAUUUUGACCCGUAGAUAUAGGAAAGACUCAGGUAGGCCCCUUGUGGGGAAUAGACGAGAUUCGUGGAAGAUUCAGAAGCAUCAAACGUAAGGACAAUUGAAGAAGGUUUGUCAUACAAGCAACCCAAUCUGAUUUCUAGAUGUGUUGUCUAUCCAGUUUGUAAAUAUCCUUCAUUUGCUUUCGUCUAACAACUGAUUUUAGAGCUGGAUUUAUUUGUUUUUGCCUUUUGAUCAUCAUGCUUGUGAUGUUACGAUAUGACAGCAUUCUUUGAUUAUACAUCUAUGGUUGUAGAUUAGUUCUAUAAGUUAUUUUUCUAGUUUUCGUUCUUUUUCUUGGUGAAUUUUUUCGAAAACCUGAAUAUGUCUUAGGUUUUAAUGCAUAUUAUUGAUUGUGAAACAUAUAUAUAUAUAUAUAUAUAUAUAGAGUCCGUCUCCCGUACUUUCGAAAGUAUGGGAGGCCCCGUGCUUGUAAGUUGUUUUCGAUGAUAGGACGUUCGAUUCGACGAUCGGCUCCGUUAGGUAUGAUCUACCCUAUUGGAACUAUCUAGAAACCAAAUUUUAGAUUUUUUUGACAUUAUUUACUAAGCGAUCAAAAGGUCUAAAAAAUGACUAUUUAACGGUCGAUGUGGCACAUUUUUAAGUUCAACGGUGUAGAAGUAUCCAAAUUACAUGAAAAUUUAAUAGAAAAUUCUACUUAACAUCAGUAGCAAGAUCAAUACUUCUGAUUUAAAAUUUGAAUCAUUUAUCACUGUUUUUUAUGAGAUUUUCAUUUUCAGCCGUUCAUUUUGAGGCUACUCAUUCACUAGACAAACGAAAUCAAAAAAUUAUGAAAUUUGGUUUCUGGAUAGUUCCAAUAGCGUAGAUCAAGUUUAACGGAACCGAUCGCCGAAUCGGAUGUUCCAUCAUCGAAAACAACUUACAACCACGGGGCCUCCCGUACUUUCGAAAGCAUAGGAGCCCAGCUCUCUCUCUCUCUCUCUAUAUAUAUAUAUAUAUAUAUAUAUAUAUGAGUACGUCUCCCGUGCUUUCGAAAGUACGGAGGCCUCCGUACUUGUAAGUUGUUUUCGUUGAUAGGACAUCCAAUUCGACGAUUGGCUCCGUUAGGUAUAAUUUAUGCUAUUGGAACUAUCUAGAAACCAAAUUUUAUAAUUUUUCGACAUCAUUUACCAAGCGAUCACAGGGUCUCAAAAAUGACUAUUUUAACGGCCGAUGUGAUACGUUUUUAAGUUCAACGGUGUAGAAGUAUCCAAAUUAUAUGAAACUUUAAUAGAAAAUUCUACUUAACAUCAAGAGCAAGAACAAUACUUCCGAUUUGAAAUUUGAGUCAUUUAUCACUAUUUUUUAUGAGAUUUUUAUUUUCAGCCGUUUAUUUUGAGGCUACUCGUUCACUAGGCAAACGAAAUCAAAAAAUUAUGAAAUUUGGUUUCUAAAUAGUUCUAAUAGCAUAGAUCAUGUUUAACGGAACCGAUUGCCGAAUCGGACGUCCCAUCAUUGGAAACAACCUACAAGUACGGAAGCCUUCGUACUUUCGAAAGCAUAGGAGCCUAGCUCUAUAUAUAUAUAUAUAUAUAUAUAUAUAUAUAUAUAUAGAGUUGAGCUAGAAUACUAUCGAUAGCAAACGGGCUCCGUUGCUACCCAUUUAUUUUCGAUGAUGGAGCCUCCAAAUCGACGAUCGGAACCGUUGAACAUGAUCUAUACCACUUGAUGUCACGCCCUGGGACCGGCAGAGGCCUUCCCGGUGGCGUAUCCAGAACCACCAUAUGUCUACACAUAUAAGGCGUCUACAAUAACAGCGGAAGUAAAGUAAGAAAACAAAAGUAUCUAACGAUAUCAGAGCAAGGUAAAUAACUAAGUUCUACACAGAGGGGUAAGUAUAAAACUGAAAUCCACUAAUAAAGUUAUAAAGUAGUACAAAGGGAAACCCAAAUACAAAAACUAAAUAUAAAGAGUAUGUAGGUGGUCUCUCCAUACAUGGUACUCAAAAUCUCUCUUUCUCUCUCUCAAAAACAAACAGAAAGAGUAAACCACUUAAGCUCACAAGUAGCUCCCAGCUAACUAGCUACGCGACUCCCUUGCCGCGAUCCCGUGCCUCCGCCGGUGCCGAAGGCUCUGAAAUAACAUCAAGGAAAAGAGGGCGUGAGAACUAUAAUUUAUAGUUUCCAGUGGGCAAUUACUGACCUCAGCUCAAUGCACCACUAGGCCCCAAAAGAAAAGGGUAAGUCCAAAAAGCAACAAUAAUAAUAAAUGGAUUGCAUUUAUGAAAGCAUGAUUAAAAUGCUAAACUACUAUGUCGCAAAUAAAUAUGAUGUCAAAUGUGUUGUACAUCUAUUUUAUCAAAAUGAAGUAUGUCCAGGCAUGACUAAUAUGUCCCAACAUAACGCGCAAGUAGGUAUCAUGAUCCACUAUAUAUAUAUCAAUGUAUGAUAAGUAUGCUCUAUCAUGGCAGCAAAAUAUGCUAUGAUGCAACAAAUAAGACUAUCAUAUAUACCACAAGUCCCAACACUAUGCUAUGAGCAUGUCAUGGUAAUCAAACUAUUAAGCCUAUCUAGUAGUGAUAGUCAUUUCCCGAUUCAAUGUCAUUGUUUCCAACAUGUUCUAGGACCUAUAUAGUGUUGUCCAGCUUGUGCCACCUAAGUGUCGGUGGUAGCUCCAGCAUUCCUACUCUAGGAAUGAGUCUAUCCCUCCCGACCGCGUAGGUUUCUCAAUACCGCACGAGCGAACAUAAGUCGCGUAGGCCAACUCUGGAGUGCCGGCUUGUAGGGAGCGACCCUCACAAGCAUGUGCGAAUGAGCACAAAUGGCAAGCAAGAGUAGUCAAUGUCUCAAAUACCCAAUCAUCAUGUCUCUAACAUGGUACAAGUCACUAGCACCUCGAAGCUCUGGUUCAAUGUCUCAAAGUGAUGUUCCAACACCCACUAUGCUUAGUGCCUCUUUAUAACACUUAAGCUUGUUAUAAGUUAACGCAUUUCAUAGUCUAUGCUCUAUUCAUGACAUUAGUACUAGGUUCUUAUUUAACCCAAGCUCAAUGCCUCUUUAUGACAUUAGCUCAAUUAUUCACAAGUAGCACAAGUUUUCGAGUCCCUUCAAGGCUUAUUAAGAUCCUUUAAGUCUCGAGUAGGAAUAGCUUUAAAUGCAUGAAAGUGAUAUUCAUUUUCACCAUAGGAAUUAUGAUUCCAAGUCUCAAUAGGAUGCCAAUCAUGUACAAGUCCCACAUGGUAGCUCUCUACUGUAUAGGGGUCCGAAAUUUCUUACACAUAAUAUAGCCAUGUUAAGCAUCCUAAAAUUCACAAUAAAUACAUUUAUCAUAGAAAUGCAUGAAUUUUACUCUAUGAAGUAUAAAACGUGGGAUAUGAGAAUUUCUCAUAUGCCAGGCUAGGUCAAACCCACCAAACCGUCUCGGAAGCCUUCGUUUUGCCGAACGGAGUUGUCCACCAGUCUCUAAGCACCCUAGAAGUAAGGAGCGAAGAGAUAAACAAACGUUACGAGCAACUCUAGGCUCAAAUAUUAACCACCACAAGCAAAUGGGCAAAACUCACAUAGGGAGUAGAAAAUCUCUCUUAAACUCCAAAAGAGAGCUAGAUCCCUUCCAAUCCGACCUAAAGGAAGAUUCUAAAUCAAGUAAUUGAGCCUCAAAAGCCCUAGAUCAAAAAGCCCUAAAAUCAACCCUAAAAUUCCAUCCUAGGGUUUCAUCUACCACAAAGUAACAAAACUCCAAUUUAGAGAGAGAGAAUGAGCUACUAACCUUUUAGAAGCCUCAAACAAGAUCCAAAGUCCUCCAAGUGUGGAGAUCUCCCUCCUCUCAAACUCCAAAUUCAAGAUCCAAGCCACCAAAAGGAAGAAGAGAGGGUGUGGGUGAAGAUCCAAGCCUCCAACAAGCUCUUUUCUUCUUCUUCUUCUCCUCCUUCUUCUUCUUCUCUCUCUAGGAGCAAGUGGGAUGGUGGAAUGAGGGAGAAGAGAAGGAGAAGUGGCCACAUAGGCCCUCUAGUGUAACAAAAUCCAACUAAGUCCCUCAACUUUGCACCAUGUACAAAGCCCGGACUGGGCAGUUUUCGGACUGAGGGACCGGUCUUCCCGACAUGGGACCGGUCUCUCGACCUGCUCCGAAAUUCCGACGUUCGGGAACCGGUCUCUCCCCGCACAGGACCGGUCUCUCGGACCCUCCACGCAAAAUACGCGCUCGGGAACUGGUCUCUCCUAGCGAGGGACCGGUUGUCUCAAACCUUGCCGCGGCACUGUUCUGAGGGGACCGGUCUCUCCUAAUAGGGACCGGUCCCCGAGAGUAAAAACUCUCAGGACUCGUCCAGAAAUCCGGUUUUCGAACCUUUUAGGUCGGAAAACAUCCUACGACUCUCCACCAAGUGUGGAAAAGCUCGAAACACGUCCAAUCACUCGAACCUUGCAAUUUGCACAGGUCCGGUGUGCUACACUUGAAGUGUUUAGAAAUCAAAUUUCAAAUUUUUUUGACAUCAUUUGCCUAAUGAUCAAAGGGUUUCAAAAUUUGUAAUUUUAAUGGUCGAUAUGAGACGUUUUCUUAUUUAACGGCGUAAAGAUAUCCAAAUCAAUUGAAUUUUUGUUAGAAAAUUCUUUAAACUAUUUAAAACAAGAUCUAUACUCUUGAUCUUGAUUACAAGACUCCUAUCAUCAUUUUUUAAAGAAUAUUCAUUUUCAGCCGUUCAUUUUUGUGUCCACUCGAUGGAUAAGAGAACAAUAUCGAAAAUAUAUGAAAUUUGAUUUCUAAACACUUCAAGUGGUAUAGAUCAUAUUCAACGAUGCCGAUCGUCGAUUUGGAGGUUCCAUCAUCGAAAACAAAUGGGUGGCAAUGGAGCCCGUUUGCUAUCUCGAUAGUAUUCUAGUUCAACUCUCUCUCUCUCUCUCUCUCUAUAUAUAUAUAUAUAUAUAUAUAGGAUUGGAAUAAUAUCAAUAGUAAACGGUUCAAUAUACUACCAAUUUAUUUUCGAUGAUAGAGUUUUCAAAUCGACAACUGGCAUUGUUGAAAUUGCUUUUUGACAUCGCUAAUCAAACGAUCAAAGGGUCACGAAAUUCGUAAUUCUAAUGGCCGACAAGGUGCGUUUGAUUGUUUAAUGGUAUAGAGGAGUCCAAAUUAGUGUUAAACUAUUAAACAUUAGAUUUAAACACUAGAUCUUGAAUGCAAAAAUUGUGUCAUAAUAUUUUGAAGGAUAUUCAUUAUCUGCCAAUCAUUUAUGUCCACUUGAUGAACAAGGGAACAAUAUCGAAAAAAGUAUAAAAUUUAAUUUCUAAAUAGUUUAAAAGGUCUAGAUCAUAUUCAACGGUGUCGAUCAUUGGUUUGAAAACUCUAUCAUCGAAAAUAAAACGGUAGUAAAUUGAGCCAUUUACUACCAAUAGUAUUCUAGUCCUACUCUCUCUUUCUCUAUAUAAAGAGAGAGAGAGAGAGAGAGAGAGAGAGAGUGAGACCUAAGCUGGAUGUAUUAGUAGCUAAUGUGUUCCAUUGCCACAUAUUUAUUUUCAAUAAUGAAGCCUUCAAAUCGAUGAUCGACACUGUUGAACAUGAUCUAUACUACUUGAAGCAUGUAGAAAUCAAAUUUAAUGCUUUU
rnacentral:lncRNA from 1 species